rnacentral:rRNA from 1 species
CGCGUAGGCGGAGAGCUAAGUCAGACGUGAAAUCCCAGAGCUCAACUCUGGAACAGCGUUUGAAACUGGCUCCCUAGAGGAUAGGCGGAGAAAGUAGAAUUCCACGUGUAGCGGUGAAAUGCGUAGAUAUGUGGAAGAAUACCAGUGGCGAAGGCGACUUUCUAGCUUAUUCCUGACGCUGAGGCGCGAAAGCAAGGGGAGCGAACAGGAUUAGAUACCCUGGUAGUCC